rnacentral:rRNA from 1 species
UGGGGAAUAUUGCACAAUGGGCGCAAGCCUGAUGCAGCCAUGCCGCGUGUAUGAAGAAGGCCUUCGGGUUGUAAAGUACUUUCAGCGGGGAGGAAGGGAGUAAAGUUAAUACCUUUGCUCAUUGACGUUACCCGCAGAAGAAGCACCGGCUAACUCCGUGCCAGCAGCCGCGGUAAUACGUAGGUGGCAAGCGUUGUCCGGAUUUAUUGGGAGUAAAGCGAGCGCAGGCGGUUUCUUAAGUCUGAUGUGAAAGCCCCCGGCUCAACCGGGGAGGGUCAUUUGAAACUGGGAGACUUGAGUGCAGAAGAGGAGAGUGGAAUUCCAUGUGUAGCGGUGAAAUGCGUAGAUAUAUGAGGGAACACCAGUGGCGAAGGCGGCUCUCUGGUCUGUAACUGACGCUGAGGCUCGAAAGCAUGGGGAGCAAACAGG